CAACAUGGAUACAAGCAUCAUUAAACAAGGCGUCCUCAGGGUGUUCCUCUCUUUGCUGUGCAUUUCAGGUUUCAUUGAUGGGAGUGAUGUGACACAGACCUCCAUACUGUGGAAAAACAAGGGUGACAAUGCAACAAUACACUGCAACCACAACAAGGGCAGCAGCUAUUUCCAGAUGUACUGGUACAGACAGCUGCCUGGAGAAACUAUGAAGCGAAUUGUGUUCACUACGACUGCCAGUAAAGAUCAUGACUUUGGAGAAUUCAGCAAAGAGAAAUUCUCAGCCACCAAGGAUGUUGCUGAGAGUGGGACGUUCACAGUGAAGAAUCUGGAGCCAGGAGAUAAAGGCUUGUAUUUCUGUGCUGUCAGAGAGACACAGUGA